rnacentral:rRNA from 1 species
UACGGGGGGGGCGAGCGUUGUUCGGAAUUACUGGGCGUAAAGGGCGCGUAGGCGGUCUGCUAAGUUGGAUGUGAAAACUCUGGGCUUAACCCAGAGCCUGCAUUCAAUACUGACAGGCUAGAGUUCUGGAGGGGAUAGCGGAAUUCCUGGUGUAGCGGUGAAAUGCGUAGAUAUCAGGAGGAAUACCGGUGGCGAAGGCGGCUAUCUGGACAGAGUCUGACGCUGAGGCGCGAAAGCUAGGGGAGCAAACAGG